UACGAAGGGGGCAAGCGUUGUUCGGAAUUAUUGGGCGUAAAGGGCGCGUAGGCGGACCCGUAAGUCGAUUGUGAAAUCCCCAGGCUCAACCUGGGAAUUGCAGUCGAUACUGUGGGUCUUGAAUGCUCGAGAGGAUGGUAGAAUUCCUGGUGUAGAGGUGAAAUUCGUAGAUAUCAGGAGGAAUACCGGAGGCGAAAGCGGCCAUCUGGCGAGACAUUGACGCUGAGGCGCGAAAGCGUGGGGAUCAAACAGG
rnacentral:rRNA from 1 species